GGUGGGUUGGCGAAGUGGUAACGCGGCGGUCUGCAAAACCGUUAUCCGUGGGUUCAAAUCCCACACCCACCUCCAGGG
rnacentral:tRNA from 1 species